rnacentral:rRNA from 1 species
GACGAACGCUGGCGGCGUGCCUAAUACAUGCAAGUAGAACGCUGAAGGAGGAGCUUGCUUCUCUGGAUGAGUUGCGAACGGGUGAGUAACGCGUAGGUAACCUGCCUGGUAGUGGGGGAUAACUAUUGGAAACGAUAGCUAAUACCGCAUAAUAGCAGUUGUUGCAUGACAACUGUUUGAAAGGUGCAAUUGCACCGCUACCAGAUGGACCUGCGUUGUAUUAGCUAGUUGGUGGGGUAAUAGCUCACCAAGGCGACGAUACAUAGCCGACCUGAGAGGGUGAUCGGCCACACUGGGACUGAGACACGGCCCAGACUCCUACGGGAGGCAGCAGUAGGGAAUCUUCGGCAAUGGACGGAAGUCUGACCGAGCAACGCCGCGUGAGUGAAGAAGGUUUUCGGAUCGUAAAGCUCUGUUGUAAGAGAAGAACGAGUGUGAGAGUGGAAAGUUCACACU